rnacentral:hammerhead_ribozyme from 1 species
AUUCGGCUGACGAGUCCCAAAUAGGACGAAACACGCGUCGUAAAU